GGAUUGCAAGGCCAAAGCCAGCUUCAGCAACUUAGUAAGGCCUGAACAACUUAUUGAGACUCUAUCUCAAAAUAAAAAGGACCGAGGCUGUGGCUCAGUGGUUAUGUGCCUUUGGGGUUCAAUCCCUGAUACCCCCCAAAUAAAAAAACUGUUAAUAAUUAUUAUUAUGAUGAUGAUUAUUGGUAUUGGGGAUUGAAUUUAGGGAUAUUCAACCACUAAGCCACAUACCCAGUCCUAUUUUGUACUUUAAGACAGGAUCUCACUGAGUUGCUUAUUAGCACCUAGCUGUUGCAGAGGUUGGCUUUGAACUCACGAUCCUUCUGCCUCAGCCUCCCAAGCUCUGGGAUUACAGCCAUGUGCCACCACACCUGGCUUAGAAUAUGAAAUUUAUCAUCUUAACCUUUUUCUCUUUUUUUUUUGGCAGUACUGGAGACCAAACCCAGGAGUGUUCUGCCACUGAGCUACACACCCAGCCCUUUUUAUUUUGAGACAGGAUCUAGCUAAGUUGCCGAGGCUGUCCUCUAAUUUAUGGUCCUCCUGCCUUAGCAUCCCGAGUCGCUGGGAUGACAGCUGCCCACCAGUACCCAGCUACUUUAACCAUCUUAGGCGUGCAGUGCAGUGGCACUGCACACAUUUUUGUUGCUAUGCAGCCAUCACUACACCUACCUGUAGGACUGCAGCAUCCUCCCCAACAAGCUCCACUCCUCACCCUCCAUCCUCAGCCCAUGGCAGUCACUGUGCUGUCUCUGAAGCCAGCCACCCCAGGGCCUUUUGAAGCGGGCAGUGCUUGUCCUUCUGUGGCUGAUGUGCCCCACCUAACAGGAUGUCUUCUCCUUCUCCCUUCUCUUCCUCUGCUGCUGAGGAUGGAACCUAGGCCCCUGCACAUGCUAGGCAACCACCCUACCCUGGAACCACACCCCUGGCCCUUUGUAUUUCUUGAGACAGGGUCUUAUGAGAUUGCCCAGGCUGGCCUCGACCUUGUGUUCCUCCUGCUUCGGCCUCCCAUGGCUGGGAUCACAGGCAUGGCCACCAGUGUGCCUGCUGAGUUUAAUUUGUAUCGUAUCAUGUGCUGGCCAGUGAUGUUUCACUGUGGGCUGCACCUCACUCUGUUUACCUGUGGGUGACCGCGGGCUGCUCAGCCCUGGGGGUGCCUGGUGUGUGCGGAUCUCUUCAGUUUCCAGUGCUCCGGGUCACUACCUAGAGGCAGAACUGCCGGGGCAGAGUCUGGGCUUGGUUUCUGAGGAGCUGACCUGCUCUUUCCUGCAGGGCCGUGCCGCUCGUCUCCGCUCUGUCACAGGUGGCCUCACCUGACCCCAGGCUUUCAUCACCAGGCCCUAAUGGCAGUCCUGUCUGUUGGUGAGUCCUUUGAGUGUGGAGAGGAGGACGGCGAUUCAGAACUGAGGCUUCCCAUCCACACAGCCCAGGAGUGGUGGCCAGGGAAAAUGGUCUUAGGGACCCCAUCUGACACCCUGGAAGGAUGGGCUGCGAAGCCAGUUGGAGUCCGCGAUUCCAAGGGCUUGUCUGACCUGGACGGAGGCAAAGCUGUGUGCAGGGCGGUUCCUCUUCCUGACAGGCUGGGGGACUGUUGAUGUCCCCACCUGCCUUUUUCUGGCCAUACUAUCCUGAUGCUGCCUGUGGGAAGGUCCUGGGGGUUGCUAGCUAGGUGUCCUUGCAGGCCAAUGUCUAGGGGAGAACUGAGAUUGGUGGCAUAGGAGUGGCUUAGCAGGACUGAGAGGAUGAGAGAAGCUUUGUCCAGCCUGGGGACCACGCCCAAGUGCACAUUUGGUCAGCGGGCAAAGAAGGCAGUGCACGGAGCUCCUAAGAGGGUGGGAGCCUCAGCCUCCCAGGUCUCCUGUGUAUCCUGCAGAGUGGCCGGAGGGUGACCACCAGGAGGCACAGGCAGCAUGAGUGCCAGAGCACUGAUGUAGGGGUGAGAAGUGAACGGUGUGGGAUGGCGUGGAGCGCCUCCAGGGUGCUCUGCCUCCCACCGUGUGCUCUGCACCCUGUUCUUCCCCUGCGGUAGCAGCUCCUCCCGUCCUUCAGGACACUCAGCAGCUGGGGCUGGGUUUCCACUCUACAGCAGCACUUGCCUAACAUGUGCAGGGGCCUGGACCCAGUCCCAGCACCAAAGGGGAAAGACUACCCAGCGGUGGGUUCUGGUUCCUGUCUUCUGCUUCUGCCUGGCCCUGCUCUCAGGCUGCCCUCCCCUGGUGGAGCCCCCAGACCCUGCUCCCCAGAAGGGCAGCCUCUGAUGGCUUCUGGCCCUUCCUAUGAGUGUUCCUAUGCUCUUCUCCAUUUGAAGAGAGACUGAAGCAGGAGCCGGGCCUCUCCUUGGAGACAGUGCAUGCCUACCUACCUCUGCAAAGUGUGGCACCGGGCCACCUGGGAAGGGAAGCCCUGCACCAUGGCCCGCCCCAGCCUUGUCCCUUGUCUUGUACCUCACAGUCCAGGUGCCAGGUGAAGAGAGGACCGCAGGGCCUUGAGACCUGUGGAGGAGCAGUGGACAGACGAGAACUCAAGGCUGAGCCAGGGCACUGGGUGUGUGCAGCCUGUGUCCAGCAUGCCCCUCGGGAGGCCAGUCUCUGCCUGGGUCACGGUCUGGGAGGAAGUGUAGCAGCCCGGGGCCCAGCCUUGCCAUUUGUUGUUAUAGCAGCAGGGUUUGUCUGAGGCAGGGUGUGUGCUGUGCUAUGAGGGUGUGGGGUGCCAGGCACACGUGGCCAGGCCCCUGGGGAUGGAUGUGGCUCAGCAAUGACCAGCCUUGUGCCUGGAUGGCAGCUCACCAGAAGGCUGACUUUCCUGAUCUGUAAAACAUGGGCCACAGCGGCACUGAUUCCCCUAGGGCUGUGUGAGGACUUGGCAGAUGGUGUCUGUCGCCGUGCUCUCUGUCUUCAUCUUGUCUGGGGAAACACGUAGGACAAGGAGGGUCACAGACCCUGCCGCAGCAGGGGGUGGGGGACUGGGAGCCAUGAGGCCAGGAUGUGUGCCAGCUCCAGGGGCCACUGAAGGCCUCCUGGACAAGAGGACCUGGGUCUUGAGAGAUGAACACAAGUCUUAGGAGUGAAGCUGACAGCUCCUGGAUGGAAGCAGUAGCUGACAGAAGCACAGGCUGCACGGCCCUGUGCACACAGGCCUCCAGCUCCCCCACCACCCUGGAAGAGGGUCUGCUAUUAUUUCCGAGUUCAGAGGAGGGUCAAAGACACAGACACCCUAUAAUUUGUCCAGUCACAGAGCUAGAGAGGGAUGGAACCAGGCCUGGAAGCCGGGAGCCUGGCCCAGAGCCUGUGCACAUGGAGAGGGAGCAUCUCUAGUGGGUGAGCAGUGGUGGAGCUGUGAGGAAAAUGGGCUGGACCUCGGACAGGUCCCACCAGGGCAUCUGGUUGGCUCCUCGGGUCUGUGCUUCCCAGGUUUCAUGGGCUGCCAGGUUGAAAAGUGUUUGGGAGGCUGACAUAGAACUGCUAACUUUAAAAUCUGCCAAGUAAGGAUUUUAUUUUUUCUUUUAAACCAAAACUCUGCAAGUGGUCUUGCUGGCCACUUCUGAGUUUCUUGCCAUGUAACCUUGGUUAAGAGACUGGGUACCUCUGAGUCUCUGAGAAAACUGGGACCCCCAGCCUCACUGGCCUGGGAAGCCCUCUCAGCACCCAUCUCUCAGAGGUCUUGGAUAACACUGGAUGUGUCUGGACCUCCUCCCGGCCUCAGACAAAACAGGGCUAGUGCUCACUGCCAGAGAAGCCACACAGGCCUAGGCCAGCUCUGCUGCUGUCGCCUAACAGGGGGUGGGACUUAGCAGUUUUGCCCUUCAGAUGCCCUAGUAAAGAGGUCUGCCAGGGCUCUCCAUCCAACAUGGUCCUUUCCUUCCAAGAGCAGGAGCACGGACUCUGUAUUAGUUAGACAUGACCAGUAGUUCUGUCUGUCCUAGAGGCCAGUGUAGGCCCUGGGGGCUUCUGGCCUCAGGGCCGUAGGAAGAGAACAAGCCCUCAUCUUGGUGGCAUUGACCGUGGGUUCCUGUGCCACUGUGGAGUCUGCAGCCUCCACACUUGAGUGGGGCCUCCAGCAGCCUGGGCCACCCAGAAUGGUAAAUACUCCAGUAGCAGAUAGUCACAGUUUGGUGUUUCGUCUUGUCCUAAAUGCUUCCUGAAACAAAAUGAACAUAUUUGAUGCCACUAAUGAUGUUUUUAAAAAGAAGGAAUCACAUAAUUCAUUCUAAGACCACCAUCUAUCUGUUGCUGCAAUCCUGUUUUCUGUAUGCUUCUGAGGAGACCUCACAGUGGGUCUCAGGACUGCCUUCCUCAUUCCUGCUUUGCUGAGACAAGCUCAUGACCCUUGCAGGUCUCCUGGGAAGUGGCCCAGACCUGUGCUCUAGGGCUUGUCCCAGAGAAGCCUGGGAUGGAGAGGCCCAGGCCAGCUUAUAAGCAUUGCCAGCUUGAAUGCACUGGUUGGUUCCUGAGUUCCAACAGAGUCUUCAGGGGUGGAGACAGGCCACCCGAGGUGGAGUGCUGAUGGAGCUGUGUGGCCAAGGUGGGGUAGAGCAGAUUGUCCACUCCUGGGCAGCUGCGGGCUGCCAUGGCACUAAGGCAGAGCUGGGCAGUGGCGACAAGAGCCGGUGGCUGGGUGACUGAGUGUGUAUUUUGGGCAGUUACUUUCUGAAGUGGCUUUAGUGGUUGACAUUAAGGAAGAGGCCUCUUGGCAGAAGGAAAAGAUUGAAGGAGUUCUA
rnacentral:lncRNA from 1 species